rnacentral:lncRNA from 1 species
AUGGAUCCAGGCCCAGCCAAGCCUGGUUCUGCCUGUCGUCAGACCAUUCCAAGCAAUGGUCCCUCAGAGAAAUGGAAUGGAAAAGCUGACACCUGGAAUCUUGCUCAUUCAUUGUCCCUGGUGAUCCUAGUGUCCUGGUACAAAACUCAGCUUCGUGAGCCUUGACCCUCCAACUGAGACCUUACAGGCUAGUGUUCAGCUGAUAACUGUGGUUCACUGUGCCAAUCCUGGGAAGUAUGUCCAAAGCCGUAUUCUGAAACACCUCAUCCCUGCCUGUGGACUGCCAUCUAACCCACCCCCGCUUAGAAUUUUUAGUGGCUUUGAAAUUAGGUGGACUUGAGUUCGAGAACAGCUGUUGACUCUUACUAAUAAAAUUCAUUUCUGGGCCCUUU